rnacentral:misc_RNA from 1 species
AAGUCGUAACAAGGUUUCCGUAGGUGAACCUGCGGAAGGAUCAUUAUCGUAAAACUGAGGCGCGAGGGCUGUCGCUGACUUUUCGUCGUGCACGCCCAAGUGCUCUCAAACAAUCCAUCUCACCCUGUGCACCACCGCGUGGGUCCCCCUUCUGGCUCGUCCCGAAGGGAGGCUUGCGUUUUCACACAAACUCGAUACAGUGUAGAAUGUCUCCUGCGAUAACACGCAAUUAAUACAACUUUCAACAACGGAUCUCUUGGCUCUC